rnacentral:rRNA from 1 species
GGGUUCCUAGGGGCGCAGCAGUGGGGAAUAUUGCACAAUGGGGGAAACCCUGAUGCAGCAACGCCGCGUGAAGGAAGACGGUUUUCGGAUUGUAAACUUCUUUUCUUAGUGAAGAAGCAAGUGACGGUAGCUAAGGAAUAAGCAUCGGCUAACUACGUGCCAGCAGCCGCGGUAAUACGUAGGGUGCGAGCGUUAUCCGGAAUUACUGGGUGUAAAGGGAGCGCAGGCGGGACUGCAAGUUGGAUGUGAAAUACCGCAGCUUAACUGCGGAGCUGCAUCCAAAACUGUAGUUCUUGAGUGGGGUG